GGCGCUUGGACAGAUAGUUGAAUGACCUUUAAGAGCUGACUCGUAGCAGAAAGGAAAGCAGUAAUCCUUUGGUCAGUUUGGUGAAGAGCUUCGAAUAAAGCAGUCCUUAUUGGAAGCAAUUUCUUUGAAUGGUGGUCAUUGGUGGAGCUGCCUAUCCUUAAAGAAUCACCGAAAUCGUGUUCCUUAAUGUAGCUUCCUGUUCACUUGCUCUUUCUCUCUCUCUC
rnacentral:misc_RNA from 1 species